CUUUACAGGUUCAUCGUUUGGUGGUUAAUAGGGAUCCUAAAUACACAAAUUUCAUCGAGGCACUGUACCAAAGGGAGUAUUUGGAAGAGAUUUGGUUGUUAACUGGCAUAUCAAAAGUCCAGGCAGUAAUACUCUUGUGUUUUACCAGAGUAUUAAAAUGGAAUCCAGGGAUACAAGUUCAUCAAGUGACUCAUCCUCAGACUCGGAAGACUCGUUUAUGGAAUUGCUUAUGGUUAAGG